GAUGAACGCUGGCGGCGUGCUUAACACAUGCAAGUCGAACGAAGCACCUUGAUUUGAUUCUUCGGAUGAAUAUCCUGGUGACUGAGUGGCGGACGGGUGAGUAACGCGUGGGAAACCUGCCUCAUACAGGGGGAUAACAGUUAGAAAUGACUGCUAAUACCGCAUAAGACCACAGUACCGCAUGGUACAGGGGUAAAAAUUCCGGUGGUAUGAGAUGGACCCGCGUCUGAUUAGGUAGUUGGUGGGGUAACGGCCUACCAAGCCGACGAUCAGUAGCCGACCUGAGAGGGUGACCGGCCACAUUGGGACUGAGACACGGCCCAAACUCCUACGGGAGGCAGCAGUGGGGAAUAUUGCACAAUGGGGGAAACCCUGAUGCAGCGACGCCGCGUGAGCGAUGAAGUAUUUCGGUAUGUAAAGCUCUAUCAGCAGGGAAGAAAAUGACGGUACCUGACUAAGAAGCACCGGCUAAAUACGUGCCAGCCGCCGCAGUAAAAC
rnacentral:rRNA from 1 species